AAGUCGUAACAAGGUAACCGUAGGUGAACCUGCGGUUGGAUCAUUAGUAAUAAUGAUGACAUAUCAAUGCUAGUGCUUCACGGCGCUAACAUUGAGAGUCACUUACCACUGUGCACUGUUUAUGUAUCGGGCCUUUGUGAAGCAGUCUAGAGAGGGUAACUCCUCUCCAAGGCUGGGAAUCGAGGGCCCACAAUAGCGGCUCUGCCGUGCAAACCAAACUACUGUUUUUUGACUGACUUUGUUUCUUAGAAACCCAUUACAACUGUUAACAAUGGAUCUCUAGGCUCAC
rnacentral:misc_RNA from 1 species